CAUGUACUACCUCCGUCCGAAAAUACUUGUCCUAGAGAUGAAUGUAUCUAGACUUAUUUUAAUUGUAGAUACAUCCAUUAUAUGCAUUUUUAGGAUAAGUAUUUCCGGACGGAGGGAGUAUGUU
rnacentral:pre_miRNA from 1 species